AUCACAUCUCAGCCCCUUGGCAAAGAUCAAGUGUAGUAUCCGUUGUUAUUGGUUUAAGAUCAGGUACAUGCCCAGUCUCAGCACAACAUAUUAAACAGCUUUGGGAAACAGAACAGCGGAAUUUCUCAGUUCAUUCCACACAUUCAUCUGGUUCUCCCGAGCCCCCCAGGAAUGGCACAGCC
ensembl:snRNA U2 U2 spliceosomal RNA